GUGGGGAAUAUUGCACAAUGGGGGAAACCCUGAUGCAGCCAUGCCGCGUGUGUGAAGAAGGCCUUCGGGUUGUAAAGCACUUUCAGUUGUGAGGAAAAGUUAGUAGUUAAUACCUGCUAGCCGUGACGUUAACAACAGAAGAAGCACCGGCUAACUCCGUGCCAGCAGCCGCGGUAAUACGGAGGGUGCGAGCGUUAAUCGGAAUUACUGGGCGUAAAGCGCACGCAGGCGGUUUGUUAAGCUAGAUGUGAAAGCCCCGGGCUCAACCUGGGAUGGUCAUUUAGAACUGGCAGACUAGAGUCUUGGAGAGGGGAGUGGAAUUCCAGGUGUAGCGGUGAAAUGCGUAGAUAUCUGGAGGAACAUCAGUGGCGAAGGCGACUCCCUGGCCAAAGACUGACGCUCAUGUGCGAAAGUGUGGGUAGCGAACAGG
rnacentral:rRNA from 1 species